rnacentral:rRNA from 1 species
CGAACGGGUGAGUAAUGCGUGACCAACCUGCCCCAUGCUCCAGAAUAGCUCUUGGAAACGGGUGGUAAUGCUGGAUGCUCCAACUUGACGCAUGUCUUGUUGGGAAAGUGUUUAGUGGCAUGGGAUGGGGUCGCGUCCUAUCAGCUUGUAGGCGGGGUAAUGGCCCACCUAGGCUUCGACGGGUAGCCGGCCUGAGAGGGCGGACGGCCACAUUGGGACUGAGAUACGGCCCAAACUCCUACGGGAGGCAGCAGAU